rnacentral:rRNA from 1 species
UACGGAGGGUGCGAGCGUUGUCCGGAAUCAUUGGGCGUAAAGGGCUCGUAGGCGGCCAACUAAGUCAGACGUGAAAUCCCCAGGCUUAACCUGGGAACUGCGUCUGAUACUGGAUGGCUUGAAUCCGGGAGAGGGAUGCAGAAUUCCAGGUGUAGCGGUGAAAUGCGUAGAUAUCUGGAGGAAUACCGGUGGCGAAGGCGGCAUCCUGGACCGGCAUUGACGCUGAGGAGCGAAAGCUAGGGGAGCAAACGGG